CCUACGGGAGACUGCAGUGAGGAAUAUUGGUCAAUGGGCGGAAGCCUGAACCAGCCAAGUAGCGUGCAGGAUGACGGCCCUACGGGUUGUAAACUGCUUUUAUACGGGUAUAACGAGCCUUACUUGUAGGGCUUUGCAUGUACCGUAUGAAUAAGGAACGGCUAAUUCCGUGCCAGCAGCCGCGGUAAUACGGAGGGUCCGGGCGUUAUCCGGAUUUACUGGGUGUAAAGGGAGCGUAGGCGGCAUGUCAAGCAUGCCGUGAAAUGUCCGGGCUCAACCCGGGCCCUGCAGCGCGAACGGGCGGGCUUGAGUGCGCGGAAGGCAGGCGGAAUUCGUCGUGUAGCGGUGAAAUGCUUAGAUAUGACGAAGAACCCC
rnacentral:rRNA from 1 species